GGCACUGCUGUAGCUGCUGCAAUGAAGUUUUAGUGUUCAGCCAUAUGUACAAGCUUUAAUAAUGGAUGAGGAUCAAACUGGCUGUUGGGCACUGAAUGUGAAUCACCACAAUGUCAGAAUCUCCAGAGGAACUUCCCAAGGGAUGCUGAUUCUAUGCUAACAGCCAUAGAAACUCCUAUGCUCUGGCUGGAACAUGUCAGGUGGUGGAAACCCAGGAGAGGACAGAUCUUAAGUCAAGGGGGAGAAAAAAGGCUCUGCUGAAGCUAAAUCUGUAGAGAGAUGUGGUCUGCAGCUGAAGACAUUCAAGCAAUGAUCCU
rnacentral:lncRNA from 1 species